GGUCCGAUGGUGUAGUUGGUUAUCACGUCAGUCUAACACACUGAAGGUCUCCAGUUCGAGCCUGGAUCGGAUCA
rnacentral:tRNA from 3 species